AUAAAAAAGUUUACUUAGUUCCUUACUUUUCUAAUGCUCAUUGGCAACUUCUGAUUAUUUGUCCUAUGGACAAUAUAUCUGUAUGCAUUUGUUCGAUGCACAAACCUCCUCCUGCAGACUUUAAACAAUUAUUAGAUAAGGCUAUGGAAGGAUACCAUAUACUUAAAGGUUCAAAGUUGAAGAAAAAAAUGCUUUGGGUC